CUCAAACGUACUGUUGUGUCGUUUUGUUUCCUCCCCGCUUGUACUUUGUUGCUCCCAUAACUCCGCGUACGAGACGAGGUGUCCGUUGCGCUUGUACCGGUCGGGCAGGCGUCAAAGUAUACCUUCAAAUCGUGUGGAAUACAUACCCUGUGGCCGGGGUGCGUAAGAGCUUGACGCGCAGAGUCACCCGGCCACGGUGCCGUUGCUCCCCCGUUGAAGCUACCAAUGCUAAGCGGGAACCCGUAUGGAACAUAGGAACCUGCUAAGGUGUGUCGUCGUUUAUGUGUAUGUGUGUGUGUAAGUGUGUGUUUUUUGUCGGUCUUGUCACCUACUCACCAAAAUCUCUCGCCACCACAAAGUACCAUGCACCGCACACAACGUACCUCAUCAUUUCCGUUUGAGGUCAACCAUUCCAAUCCACCCGCAAACCGCAGUGUAAGGGCUUGACGGUAUGGUUUGCAUAGCCGGUAUGAUUCUGUGUGAUAGUUUUUAUGCUUUCGCUACCUAUUACUUCCUAGCUCACUUUAAUGUAUGCGUACGAGCAAGGAUGACGCCAUAGAGGUACGGCAUACGCAUACUGGCCGCGGGUGUAGGGUAGUGCCAUUUUAAUCGAUUUGAAGCUAAUGACGUGUGGCUUUUUUUGCAUACCAUCUAAUGCUGUCGAUCAUUCAUUUUGAGGCAUUUUGAACGAACCGUGGUUUCUAGGUCAGGGUUUGAAGUAAUAUGUUAGUCAGUGUUUUUCUUAUGUUAGCCAAUUACAGUCUUAUACUUUGGAAUGGUUUAAUUAUCUUCUCAUUGUCUCUCAUGAGAUUAUACUUCUUUAUUUCUAAUAAAUUGCUGCGUUAUCUUAAAUGUGUACUAUUAUGCUAUGCUAUAUACAUAUGUAUAAUGAAGAAAUUAUUGGAAAUUAUUAAUCAAAAAUGAAGAAAUUGUUGGCGUUUUCAUGCCUUUCGCAGCUCCACCUGAAGUCAUCAUUCUUCUUUUGCUUGAAAAAUCGUAUAGUUUUGCUUCCAAGCCAAGAAGAAUUCAACCAUUGGCAGCAGUACAAUCCAUUGUACCCAUUGGGUUACGUUAAAGCACGUUACACGCUUGCCUGGCUCUCUAAUUUCAGGAUGGUGGCACUAGCCAGAAUGUACAGGUUCACAUUUGAGCUAGAACCAAAACGCGUUUGCUGGAAGCGCAAUUGAAAAGUGAGAGAGCAUACAAUGCAAGCGAGAAAGAGAGCGAAAAAAAAGAAAA